rnacentral:lncRNA from 1 species
GGAACAAGAGGUUACCUUGCACCUGAAUGGAUUUCAGGAGUGGCCAUAACAGCCAAAGCGGAUGUCUACAGCUAUGGAAUGAUGCUGUAUGAAUUUGUAUCAGGAAGGAGGAACUCCCAGGAAUCUGAAGAUGGUAAAGUGAAGUUCUUCCCAUCUUGGGCUGCUAAACAAAUAGUUGAAGGCAGCAAUCUCAUUAGCCUAUUAGACCCAAGACUGGAGGGCAACGCUGACGAAGUAGAGCUUGCAAGACUUUGCAAAGUGGCUUGUUGGUGCAUCCAAGAUGAUGAGACUCACAGGCCAUCAAUGGGUCAAGUAGUUCAAAUUCUUGAGGGAGUUUUGGACGUGACACUGCCUCCAAUUCCCAGAGCUCUCCAAGUAAUGGUCGAUGACCAUGAGCACGUAGUCUUCUUCACUGAAUCAUCCACAUCUCAGAGUUCCCUGUCAAAGAGCAACAAUUCAACUGCUUCAUCUCAAGCAAAGAGUACCACAUCAUCAAGAAGUUCUUAAAUCGAUGUGAAGAAAAUAUUUUAACAUUUGUGUUUAAGAAUAUAUAUUUGGUUUAUUUCACUUGUAACAACCUGUAUGCAUAUUUGGAUAGAAGCCUUGCUUCGUAGUGUGUAUAAUAAUAAUGGAACCUGCCAAAGCAAUUUUAAGAAUUACAAGCCUUGUGCCUCGCUGUUCUCUCUAAUGAACUCUGAUUGAUCUAUGCUCCUCUGCAUUGACUAUUGGCUUCACCUAAUCGCUUCAAUUGGCAAAAUUAGGUAUUGAAAUAAAAGUGACUUGGAACUUGGAUGUUAUCCCGAAGAAGGGGAAAAACAGAAAAACAAUCAAACAAAUAAACAUAAACGUGACGUUGUAACAAAUAAUGUUUGGUAGUAUAUGAUAUGCAUACAUAAAUCGAAAACCAUAAAAUGUAAAAUAACUAGGUUAAGUGUGGUUAACUAAUCGAGACUUAAGUCUUAAUUUCUCUUAUAAAAACUUAAGUGUUGUAUCUAAGUCCGUCGUCAAUUUAAUACUUUUAAUAUAAGUUAUUAUUUAGAAAAGAAGGUGUGUUCAAUGAAUGACUUAUUUAUGAGUGCUAAUUAGAUUAAAAUUUAGAAUUUAGGAUAAAUUUACAGAAUCAUAAAUUAAUUUAUAAUAUUAUGAAAAUUAAUUUAUGACAUCAUAAAUUUGUCCCAAAUUUUGAAUUCAAACUUUAAUUUCAGAUUGAAAAAUUUUUCUCUAUCCAUAAAGUGUUUGGUUAAGGGGAAAAAAAUCAAAAGAAAAAAAAUCUAGGUGGGUGGUAUGACGUGGGGUUUACGUUUAAUGCGUAAAACAUGAUUUUAAUGUUUAUUUCUCACGAGGCAACAUUGAGAAUAUCGGAGUUGAGUUUAACACAAUUAAUCCUUAGCAAAUAUAUUAAAGCGAUUACACUUCCUGUCUCUCGUCUCAUGCAUGUUACUGCUGAUUGCCUUUGAUAUUUUAAACCAAUUUUGAUUCACCAAAUAAUCAAUCGAUUAAUUUAUUUGCUCUAAAUUCUCAUAACUUAUCCACUACAGAUUUCCAAUGCGGACUCAAGUAUGAAGUUUUUCUAGCCUCAUAUUUGCAUUCGUAAUUAUCACGUCACAUGUACAAGAGAAUGAUUUGAUAUACAAUUGAACAGAUAUUAAUGAAUCUAGAGUAGUUUCAAAUUAGUCAUCGACAUAAUUGAUGCUAAAAUAAUUUCUAAGAGACAAAUUUUAAUCUCAAAUCCCCCAAAAAAAAGAGUAGAUAAUUAAAAAAAAAAAAGCACAAACAAUUGCAAAAAGCUAUUUUUUAUAGUUUCACUUCAGUUCACAGCCUCCUCAUAUCGAGAAACAGCUUCUGAUCAAGCUCAAACUCUUGAAACAUAUUAUUUGUUACAUAUUUUUCAUGAACCAACUGGCCAACAUUGUUGAACUGUCGAUAUUUUUAUUGACUUCAAUUGACUAACAAGUUUCCUUCUUUUCUUGAAGGAUGGCUUUGACGGCGUUUCUUGAAGGAUGACUUGGACCUCUCGUUGAUUCGCGUCCUCGAUAUUGGUUCGUGACAUUCGAUCUCCCUGAUCUCGCCGCCUUCCGGAGAGAAGACGUUUGUCAAAGUUAUCGCAAUCGACGCUUGCCAUUGUCCUGGUAAGUCAUGGUUAAGCUAACAGUAACAAUAACGGCAUUGAUAACUGUUAGAACACUAAUAGUUUAUUUUAUUACUUGUUUUAAUUCAUUUCUUCUUAGCAUUAGGUUUUUUUUUUCAAUUAUAAAUUAAUGUUUUUAUUAAAUUAUAGUUAGGACUGUCUUAAACGAUUAUAAAUAAAUAGUUUUUAUUAUAUUUUUGAGGAAAUAAUAAUAAAAUUAAUUCUAAUUUCUGUUAAUUCUUUUCUCUUCCCUCUGAAUUCUUAAAUUCAUUAUUUAUUUCUCUUUUAACUCUCUAAUCAAAACCUUAGAAUCCUACCAUCUGGUAUUAGAGCACAUCCUUCCUGCCACAAUUUUUAUUUUUCCAUUCACUAUUUUUUUUUAAAAGUCAUCAACCAAACUUUUGCCAAUAUCUCUUGGCUUUUGACUGGAGACUUAAACCGGACCCACCCUCUAAACUUUUUCCAAUAUCUAAACUUUUUCAACCGAACUUGAAUUUUCUUGAGAGUUUUUUUGAGGCAUCAUGAUUGGUAAGGAGCUUGAAGGCAAAGUUCAACAGUUUCAUGACAAAGUUACAACCAUCGAUGAAAAGGUUACGACCUUAGCCAAGCAAAAUAACGAUCUGCAGGAACUCAUGAACGACAUCCUUCAGCAAUUGAGCCAGUUGCGAAAAGGAAAACAACCGACUACUGAUCAAAGACAAGUUGAUAUAUUUACUGGAGGGACCUCUGCUCCUCAAAUGGUAAUUGCUAUCCAACCACCUCUUGAACCUGCCGAACGCAUUGGAAGUACUCUCAUGCAAGCUCGUAACAUAUGACUUGACUUUCCUAUUUUUCACGGUGACAAUCGAACGGGAUGGAUUUUUCGAUAUGAGCAAUAUCGUUGCCUUACUGGAUUAUCAAAUGUUGACUUAUUGUGCUUAGCUAUUGGCCAUCUUGAUGGUGAUACUGUACCUUGGUUUCAUUGGAUAGAGCAAACUAUGGGCGAAAUGACUUGGGCGCAAUUUAAAUGGGCUUUCACUACUCAAUUUGGGACAUUAGAAGAGAAUGAUGCAGUUGGCAGUCUUACCAAAUUACAUCAAAUAGGGACAGUUCUUGACUAUCAACGACAAUUUCAAAAGUUGACCGAUCAGACUAGCAAUUUAACUGAGUCUUUCUUCAUCAGUUGUUUCCUUUAUGGGUUACAUGAAGAUAUCAAGGCUGGCGUACAACUGUUCAAACCUGUUAGUCUCGUACAAACUUUUGAACUUGCUAGGUUUAGUAAAAGACAAUUACUUUGCAAGGCAACUGUUCCCCCGUUCCCGCCAUCCAAGAUCUAGUCCCACAAUUACAGUUGACUCCUACUCCACCAGCAGCAGACAGAAAGACGUUCUAAAGGGCUUUGUUUCAACUGUGACGAGCAAUUUAAGCCUGGGCAUUGUUGCAAACAAUCUCAACUAAUGCUUUUAGACGUUGAUAUAACUCUUCACAACCCUCCAAAACCGCCUGACCAUCAUUCAGAUUGGAAGAUCUCGAUUAUUGAGACUAGGUAAAAGGCUUGCAGACAAGCCUGUUUUAAUGGGCAGGGAAUGUUAGGACCCUAAUAAUUUAUUUUAUUGCUUGUUUUAAUUUUUUUCCUAUUAAUAUUAGGUUUUCUUAUUUCAAUUAUGAAUUAAUGCUCUUAUUAAAUUAUAAUUAGGACCGUCUUGAACUACUAUAAAUAAGUGGUUCUUAUUAUAGUUUUGAGGGAGCAACAAUAAAAUUAAUUCUAAUCUCAUUUAAUUCUUCUCUCUUCCCUCCGAAUUCUUAAAUUCUUCAUCUAUUUCUCCCCUAAUUCUCUGACCAAAACCUCAUAAUCCUACUAGUAACGGACUGCAUUACGUUCGAGAAGACAAUUUACACACACACAAGAUAAUAAAGGCAUUUAAAUCACCCAAUUAAGUUGUAUAGCGAUAAAUAAUUAAAUUACAAAAAGCUCGACAUAUACUGAAAAAUAAAAAAGAAAUUCAACAAAGUCAUAAAUUUAUUGACAUCUGAAUUCUGAAAAUAUGGUGUGUGUCUUCAGUUGGGAAAGUUAUAAUUUGCAUACGGUUAUUUUUAUUGAUAUUUAAUACCUCUAUUUUAUGUUCAAUUGGAAGGAAUUCUAGGCAGUUCAAUUUUCUACUUACGGUAUUAUCACGAUCGUUGUUAUUGAGAAAAUUUUGGCAAUUUUUUUGAUUGAUCAUGAUGAUUUUAGUACGUGGCAGGCUCGGUGAUGUUGUUAUUUCGCGGAGCAUUUGGAUGCUUGCUCUAUACUGGUGAUUUUCGCUGGGAAGCAAGUAAUAAGAGGGCUGAGAUAGGAAGGAACACGCUCGUCAAAGCUUUAAAAGAUGAUGUAGUCGACAUUCUUUAUUUGGAUAACACAUAUUGCAGUCCAUCAUAUGCUUUUGCUUCAGGAGAAGUUGCAGCUCAGCAGGUACACUUUUUAUAUUUUUCCUUUCUUGUUUGAGAACUUUCAGUUUCACUCCAGAAUUAUCUACUGAAUUAAAGAUUAAAAUGGGAGAUGAAAGAAAUAGUCCAGGUACUGAUUUGUAGUGUUAGUUAUCUGGAUGAAAACAGAUUGUUGACAUAAUUGCCUCCCAUCCAGAUCAUGACAUCAUCAUUGGGAUUGACUCACUUGGAAAAGAAAAACUUUUAUUUCACAUAUCGCAUAAGCUCAAUAUAAAGGUUUGCUCACCCUUUUAAUAUCGGAAAACCUUUUCUUACAUAACGAUCAUCACGAUGGUCUCUCCAAGGGGGAUGAAAUCGAUAGCAUAUAUACAGCAAAUUGACAUGUUAUCUAAUUUUUGGAUCACUUGUAGAUGAUUUAGGAGUAUCUUGAUAGUUUUUAUUCUUCUAACAUCUAACAUAUGUUUUACAUUUUAGAAACUGGGCGGGUUAGAUUGUCCUUUGGUGGAUUUAAUUGUGGCCAAAUUCAUACAUGAAAUGUAUUGUCACACAUGUAUUAUUGGAUGCAUCCAAUUGUAUGUUCUUCCUCUUCAUGUGCCAUGAGAACUUAAAACUGCCCUCUUCAUCUCUUGCAAAUUGUUGUUUAGUCACAAGCAAGUGGAAUAAAAAUUUUUGCAUUUAUUUCCAAAGCAGAUAUUUACUCUGUAUUUCUUGUUUCACAUUUUUUUUAUAGAUUUGGGUGUGGCCAGAACGCCUGCAAACCAUGCAUCUGCUUGGCUUCCAUGACAUAUUCACAACCAAAACUUCUCUUACUAGAGUGCGAGUUGUUCCACGGUAUAGUUUUAGCAUUGAUACUUUAGAGAGUUUAAAUACAAUGCACCCAACGAUUGGAAUUAUGCCAUCUGGUCUUCCUUGGGUGGUUAAGUCUCUUAAAGGAGGUAGUAGUCUUCCUGGUUUUCUUUUUCCUUCUUACCAAAGCAAAUGGAGAGCAACGGGUGGAACUCACACUGAGAAACUGAAAGAAGCUUUAGGCGGGCCCGACGAGGUGCGAAGCUUGCUCGAAGUGAGAGUUCUGAUUGAUUAGGGUCAAAUAUCGAUAUCAGUUAAGCUUGAAAUUCUUGCAAGUAAUGUUACUUGUAUCGGUUUGAAUUCAGAGUCUAUUGUAUGGUUGAAGAAUACAUAUGAUGGUGUAGGGUGUAAGUAAUAUAAUCCUUUUAUUUAUUUAUUUAUCUUGGAUGUCUAAAGCGACGGCCUAUUAGUGCUCAUUAAGGAAAAUGGUUGUGUGAAAGCACUUCGUCUGGAUCAGUCAUUUGACUGUUUACGCCUGGAUCAGUCAUUUGAUUGUUUACGCGGGAUAGGUAUAGUGGCUUUUUGGUUUAGAUUAUUAUAGUUGUUUUCAAACUCGUGGCCUUUAAACACAUUAUAGUUUGACAAUCAUGGUCUUUACUUGAUUUGCAAUAAGGUAAAGAAGUCAAAUGGGUAAUUAUUUUCUGUGAGAGUGAAUUGCGGCAAACAUGAGCAAUUUUUGCAUCAUUGUGCAUUUUGUUGUAGAAUGAGGAGAGUCAACUUUCCUGACCAUCUAGAUGAACCCUUAGUUGAAUCUCUCCAUGGCCAUAAGUGGGCGGCAUAGACCAAAUCCUGAAACUAGUCAUGGUCUAAUAUGCAAACCACUCUGACUAUGGCCAAGACACUGGAAAAUGGUGAAUGUUAACUUAGUUUUGAAAGUUAUCAAAUUUAAUAAAACAAAUCAAAUUUAUAAAGUUUUAAAAGUUAUCAAAAUUUAAUAAAACAAAUCAAAUUUAUAAAGUUUUAAAAGUUAUCAAAAUUUAAUAAAACAAAUCAAAUUUAUAAAGUUUUAAAAGUUAUCAAAAUUUAAUAAAACAAAUCAAAUUUAUAAAGUUUUAAAAGUUAUCAAAAUUUAAUAAAACAAAUCAAAUUUAUAAAGUUUUAAAAGUUAUCAAAAUUUAAUAAAACAAAUCAAAUUUAUAAAGUUUUGAAAGUUAUCAAAAUUUAAUAAAAAAAAUCAAAUUUAUAAUUAGGGGUCCAGCUACGGUGCCCCUUUGGGCACGGUGUCCCCUUCUUUUGUCAUUAUCCAGGCUAGCCGUUAGAUUAUAAUGACUUUAAUCCAACGUUUCGGAUUUUGAAACUGUACAAUGAUGUGAAGUGGGCAACUGUCCAAUCCCGAUAUACUAAUACUAUUGUAGCUCUAAAUAAGAAGUAAUAAGAUUAUUAACACUAUAAGGUUAAUGGAAGGAAAAUCUAUCUAAGCCUGAAAUGAUACAAACUACAUAUGUUCGAAUUUAUGGUAGCUGAAAAAUCUUUCAUGAUUUGUUCUACUCCUUGAUCACAUAAGUGGGUUGAAUUAAUUUAUAUAUUUGAAAUUAGGUGGUUGAAUAACGAUGGCAUGACCAUAUGGAUUCAAUUUCUUGAUGGACCAAUAACCUUGUUUCGACUGAAAUCAAUACGUGCAAGUAGUCAAUUUGACAGUUGACAUAAACUGUGCUUUUGAAUUGCAAUGGAACAUAAAUGAACAAGCUUUCAUCUAGCUUUACAGAGUGUGAACUAAAUGGUGUAGCAAAUAUAAAUGAAAGAAGAAGGAGCCCGAGGGGUGGAGGCGUUAAGAACUUAAAUAGCAGGUUUUAUUCUGUCGAAAUACUACAAGCACAUUUGUAAUAUUCAAAAGAUGCUGCAACUGUAGUUCUUAGUAUUUCGAGUCAGAAAACUAAGCUUCAAUAUCAUGACAUAACAAAAUAUACAAUAAAAAUUGCACGGACAUAAUAAUUGUCAUAUUUCCAUAACAACGUUACCAAGUCCGUAAAAGCUAGGAAUAACAAAACACAUAAAAAUAGUUUCAUAUUAGAGAAUAUCUGAAUUUACAGAGCAUAGAUUAUGUCUAAAUUUCCUGGUUGGUUGAGUUUCUUCGAUGAUCUUGUUCGAAAGCUAAUACCAUUCGUUUCUAAAAUGUACCUCACAGUAUCAAUCAUCUCAAUUAAACUGCCACAAAGUUUCCUCUUUAGCCUACCACAGUUGUAGCAAACUACCAAAACCCAUUUGACAAGCAGCCACUCUUUGUUCAUCUAUCAGCUACGAAACUGCUGCCGCUAAUCUAUCUGGGGCGAAUCUAGUCAAGAACUUUGCCUUUGCCACUUCUGACUUCACUAUUUGUUCGCAUUCAAUUUGUAUUAACAUUUUCUCUCCGGUGGUAAAUCCUUAAACGUGGAUCCAAUUUCCAUCUAGUACACAAUCAUGGCAGAUAAACUAACUACAUCUCCACUAAUUGAAAAUACAAAUUUAUUUUAUCUUUAUAGUGCAACUUUACAUACCUCUUCUGUAAUGCAAGUCAUUCCAUCGCUUGCCUUAACCUCAUGCACGGCUUCACUGCUGCAAUAUCAUCAUAUGACUGCAAAAUUAUACAUCUCUAUAAUUUUUAAUGAACUAAGCUUACAAAUAUCUUAUGAACCCAUUAUGGCAUUUCCUUUUUCUUCUUCCUUCAAUACUUUGAUCGUCACCAACCUCUUUAACACCGCCAUCAAUCUCACACGAUUUAUGCUUAUUACUUCCCACCAACUUAAUUUAUGAAAUUCAGUGAUACAUUUAUUUAUUAUAAUCAAACUAAAGUUCAUAGCAACAUAAAGUUUACAUUCCUAGUCCAGCACAAAACAAACAAAAAAAUUGGGGAAAAAAAUAAACAAAGGAGAUCUGGAACGAAGGUAAAGCAUGUAUCAUUUUCCUGUUCCUAAUUUUAAAAAUGUUCAUUGUAAAACUUAAUAACACCCAAGCUAACUGGAACUAAUUGUUACGGAUUCAAAUAUCAUUUUAAUACAUGGAAUUACUAAGAUGAAUAUUAUGACAAAAAAAUCCUUUACAUUAUUACAUUGUUGAGAAAAUAUCCAUAACUUUAUUUUAAAAUAUUUGUGCACCCCAAUUUUGCCAUUAUCCUUAUGAGAUCUAGCUUCCCACCAACCAUAUUAUGAACAACAAAUGAUUCACAUCACAAAUCUCAUAUUAAAAUUACACUUACCUUAAAUUUGGUAUAUGCAAUCCUUUCUGUUUCAUUCAAUACUGCUAUAACAAACUACAAGUCACUGCACUCCACUUCAAAAAUUUGACACGACAUCAUUGCUCCAAUUACAGUUAUACAGAAUUAAGAAAAUAUUCCUGCUUUAAAAAUUUCGCCAAUGUCUGUUGAAAUACAACCAAGGGUAUGUAGAGGGUCCAGCUACAAUAUCCAUGGGGUUUGGUACCCCAUUUUUUGUUUUUUUCAAACCUACCGUUAGAUUUAACGUAAGUGCAUAAUGGCUGAGAUGUGAUUAUUGAGUUAUUAACAUCAAAGACCCUUAUUGUUCAUGUAAAAUAAAAAAAAAUCAAAAGUUUUGAAAUUAUGACAUAUAAGUCAAUAAUAUUCUCUUUUUUUUUUAACUCUAUUGAAAUAUGUUUCCAAUUAAAUGACUUAUUCUUAUAUUUAUUAGUAUCUAUUUAAAUUAAUAAAUUUAUUAAUUAAUAAAUUAACUACUUUAUUAUAUAAUUAAACUAUGUAUAUUAUUUAUUAAGGGUUAUUUUUAGAGACCUCCCCUGAGGUUUGGUGUAUUGACAGUCUGAUAGAAAGUAUUCACGUAAUUACAGGGACCUCCCCUGACGGUACUACAUGGUUAACUUGACUGUUAGUGGACUAACGAAAAGCCAAAAAUGCCCUGAGCCUAAAAAAUGCUUUGGCAGUUAACAAUUUCUUUAAUGAUAGUAACUACAGUUUGGCGUUAAACAUCACACUAAAACACUAAAAAGUCUAAACUGACCAUUUAAAACAAAUCAUUGACAUUACAUAAUAUUAAAAAAAGGAGAAAAAUAUAAAUUGACAAAAUCAACAAAGCUAUCAAUGUAGUGAAUAUUUACAGCAACAAUGGUUGUAAAUACAGCCAUUGUCAAGUUAAAAUCACCAUUACAACCAUUGCUUCUUUAACUUUCAUCUCACAAUUUCUUCCUUCAUCAUUCAACAUCUCAAAAGCUCAAUAAUUAGUAAGCUGCUUCAAUAAAACAAUAAACAAACCAUAAUUCACUUUUCAAUGCAUUCAAAAUACACAACGAAUAUUCCUUAGCCAUUUAAAUUGAAGCCAAAGAAGAAAAGAAAAGAAAAAAAAUCUUCCUUUGUUAUUCCAAGUUUCACACCACUAGCCAUAUGAAGAAGGCAGACUAAAGCGUAAGAAAAUGCUACUGCCACAGCAAAAGUCUAGACCAAUUGGGUAAUGAUACCUGCCAUGCCAAUUUCAAGGCAAGCAAAAAUCAAUUAUCAUCCCCAGACCAAAAUACCAGCAAACCUACCUUUUGAAUUUAAAUAAUAAGUAAAUAAAUCAAAGAUUUCAACUCAUUUAAGUUUGAAAUCAAUUAAAAUAGCCAAAAAGAAAAAAAAAAUUCGUCCAACAUAACUUAUCCAGCAAUUUCUUCAACACAUAAUUUCAUUCUUAAUCAUCACAACAAUUAAAAAAGAAAAACAAUGAGCCCAAGUGAUUGAUCUUGCCAUAAUGUACUCCUACCAGCAACCGAAGUCGAGCAUACAUACGACGAUCUUCGUGCGUGAAUAGCCGGGAGGAAAGAAAGGGCGGUAGAUGAUAAUGAAAAAGAUGCGAUCGAGUUUGCUGUAGAAAUUUCUACUCUCCGAUUAGACCCAAAGCUUGUUCAAAAGGGUCUCCUUUUCCUCCGUUGAGAUCAAAUCCCUACCGACGAGCUGCCAACAACUAACAAGGGUCACUACGAAUAGCUAACAACUGCUUUGCUACUACUGGCUCACUCUGAACGAGAUUCCGAUCCCCUGUCUCGUGAGCAAAGCCUUCGAUUCCUUCACGUAGGCCGAGACGGAUUGGUUCAAAAGCUUCUCCAGAGCUUUUCAACCUUGAAAAUGGUUGUGGGUUUCGUUUAAUGAGAGAGAAAAUAGUGUUUUGGUUCUUUGAUUUUUUUUUUAAUUUAUGAAAUCACUAAUUUACCCUCAUAUACUAACAUAUACGAAAACGUGUACUAACGUUAGGGGAAGUCUCUGUAAUUACACAAAUACUUUCUAUCAGAUUGUCAAUACACUAAAACUCAAGGGAGAUCCUUAAAAAUAACUCUAUUUACUAACUAUAAUUAAUAAUAACAAUAAAUAUAAAUAUGAUCUUUUUUUAAUUUAAUAUAACGACAACUAAUUUCUUUUGACGUAUGUGAAUAAAGUUCAAAACCCAUAAUUUUUUUUUCCGCCAGACGGUGACCCUUGUGGGUCUAUCAACAAUUCAAAGAUUGCACAACUUGAUUGUCCGUUUCCAAUCACUCAUUUCUUUCUCUCUGGCCAACCAAACGCGUAAAACUGAUUAACGUUGUUGAUGGAGUUUUAAAUAUGAUCAAAUGGCUGUGAUUGUUUGUAGGCUUGGUCCUAUAAAGCUCAAUCGACCUACAAGCCAAUAAAAAAAAUUAAUUGAAAUUGCUAGCACUAGCCGCAACUGGGCCCCAUUCACAUUACGAGGUUCACCUCCUCUAGAACUUGUACAGGUGGACAUGGUUACAAACUAUUGCUUUUGUAGAAACAAUCCAAGUUGAUGUCUAGGGUGGAUAUUAAAAUCUUGCUGACGUGGCUGAAUCUGUUAUAUUGGUUUAAGAAUUACUACAUGCAUGUGUAACAGCUUAUUAACAAGGAAUUGACACUUGUUAUAUAUGUGUGUAAAAUACAUUGAUUCAAUAAUAAGAAGUUUUCAGUUUAUCAAUAUUUUCUUUCUCUUCCGUUUAACUUUCUCGUUUACCAAAUACAACAUUUGGUUUUCUUUCACAAAGUGUCGGAUUUUGGGCUGGCAAAGCUUGUUGGGAGGGAGUUCAGCCGUGUCCUAACAACCAUGAGAGGAACAAGAGGUUACCUUGCACCUGAAUGGAUAUCAGGAGUGGCCAUAACAGCCAAAGCGGAUGUCUACAGCUGCGGAAUGAUGCUGUUUGAAUUUGUAUCGGGAAGGAGGAACUCUGAGGAAUUUGAAGAUGGUAAAGUGAGGUUCUUCCCAUCUUGGGCUGCUAAACAAAUAGUUGAAGGCAGCAAUCUCAUUAGCCUAUUAGACCCAAGACUGGAGGGCAACGCAUAGGAAGAAGAGCUUGCAAGACUUUGCAAAGUGGCUUGUUGGUGCAUCCAAGAUGAUGAAACUCACAGGCCAUCAAUGGGUCAAGUAGGUCAAAUUCUUGAGGGAGUUUUGGACGUGACACUGCCUCCAAUUCCCAGAGCUCUCCAAGUAAUGGUCGAAUCAAAGAGCAACAAUUCAACUGCUUCAUCUCAAGCAAAGAGCACCACAUUAUCAAGAAGUUCUUAAAUCGAUGUGAAGAAAAUAUUUUAACAUUUGUGUUUAAGAAUAUAUAUUUGGUUUAUUUCACUUGUAACAACCUGUAUGCAUAUUUGGAUAGAAGCCUUGCUUCGUAGUGUGUAUAAUAAUAAUGGAACCUGCCAAAGCAAUUUUAAGAAUUACAAGCCUUGUGCCUCGCUGUUCUCUCUAAUGAACUCUGAUUGAUCUAUGCUCCUCUGCGUUGACUUUUGGCUUCACCUAAUCGCUUCAAUUGUCAAAAUUAGGUAUUGAAAUGAAAGCGAAAUGCCAAAAGCAACUUGGAACUUGGAUGUUAUCCAGAAGAAGGGGAAAAACAGCAGAAACAAUCAAACAUAAACGUGACGUUGUAAUAAAUAACAUCGGUCAAGAUAUGAAUCAACUGGCCAACAUUGUUGAAUUGUCCAUAUUUUGAUUGACUUCAAUUGACUAACAAGUUUCCUACUUUUUUUGAAGGAUGGCUUUGACGGCGAUUCUUGAAGGAUGGCUUUGACGGCUUACGUAGCACAAAUAAUUUAUGUUGGACGUUUAAAUAAUCCAUCAGAAAAAAAUUAUGGAAACCGAACUUCGUCCCUUUGCUUUCUUUAUUCCUAAAUAACAAUUUAGCACUCCUGAACUUCAUUGAACUUCAUCCUCCAUUUUUUUUGCUUUCUUUAUUCCUAAAUAACAAUUUAGCACUCCUGAACUUCAUCCUCCAUUUUUUUUAAUUUCUACUUGUCAUAAACUGAAACCUAAUAAAAUAAUUUUGGUUGAAACCAUCAUAUUUGACAGUAUGAGCACAACGACAGUGAUUACUAACUGUUUCUGCUUAGGCCCGCCAUACCCAACCCUCAAUUUCUCCCUUAAGUCUUGAUAAAUAGACCAUCUGCUGUUCAUAAACAUCAUCUUGUCUGCACAGAAAUUUUCCAGCAGCCAUGGAUGUCAAGAACAAGGUAUGGUUCAUGCUCUGUGUUCUCUCCGUAUGCUUCACUCUCAAACCUCAUUUAUCCUUUGCUGCUCGUGACUCCAUCUCUGCAAACCAAUCUCUCUCUGGGGAUCAAACUAUUGUCUCUGCUGGUGGGGUCUUUGAACUAGGCUUCUUCAAGCCAGGUAACUCUUCAAACUACUACAUAGGCAUUUGGUUCAAAAAGUUGUCAGAACAAACCAUAGUUUGGGUGGCAAAUAGAGACAAACCAGUUUCCGAUAAAAACUCCUCAGUGUUAAGAAUAUCCGAUGGUAAUUUAGUUCUUUUAAAUGAGUCUAAAACGCCCAUCUGGUCCACAAGUUUGAACUCUAGUAAUACAACAGCUUCAAUCGAAGCAGUUGUUCUAGAUGAAGGUAAUUUUGUUUUGAGAGAUUCUUCAGCUAAUUCAACCUUAUGGCAAAGCUUUGAUCAUCCGACUCAUACAUGGCUUCCCGGAAUGAAGUUUGGAAUAAACAAACGGGCAAAAGUAAACCAAUUUCUCAUCUCAUGGAAGAAUAAAGAGGAUCCUGCACCGGGUCUCUUUUCGCUUGAGCUAGCCCCAGAUGGAUCGGAUCAAUAUGUUAUAAUGUGGAAUAGGUCUGAACAAUACUGGAAUAGUGGAGUCUGGACUGGAAUAAAUUUUGCCAAUGUUCCGGAAAUGAUAUCUCAUCAUAAUUUCGACUUCAACUACAUUUCGGAUGAAAAUGGGAGAUAUUUCGUUUAUUCUGUUACUAAUUCUAUGACAACUCGUUUUGUUAUUGAUUCUUCAGGGCAGAUUGAGCAGAUGUUUUGGUUGGAGUCUAGCAAGGCUUGGUUUCAGUUCUGGUCGCAACCAAGGCAACCUUGUGAUGUUUAUGCUUAUUGUGGCGCAUUUGGCAGCUGUAAUGAGGGAAACCAGUCUUUCUGUGCUUGUCUGCCAGGUUUUAGGCCAAAAUGGGAGAACAAUUGGAACUUGAUGCAGGAUUAUUCUUCUGGCUGUGUGAGGAAAACCCAACUGCAGUGUGAAAAUACUGUUGUUACAAAUGGAAAGAGUGACAAGUUUUUAGCAAAUUCUCACAUGGUAUUGCCUAAACAUCCACAAUCUGUGGCAGUUUUUGUGGAAGCAUGAAAUGAUCUAGCUGAUAUAUAACUCAUCCCUGGUAUCUUCACCCCACCAUAUGGUUGAGAGCAUACCCAAGUUGGCUGUCCAUGAGAAGAAAAAUCAGAAUAAGAAUGCAGGCAGGAUGCACCAUGGGUAAAACCAUGCUGGCUACUGCAAGUUUUCUGCGCCAUAUAAGGAUUCUUGUAACAUUUCAAUUCAAAUGGCACCUCUAAAACUUCUUUCUUACAUAAACAAGACUUGUUAUGAGGCCUCAAGAAAUUAUGCCCCUGACAUUCCAGUCCUUUCUUGCUUCUGCAAUAAUUUUGAGGGUUAAAGGAUCCCUUUGUUUUCAAUUUCUGUUCUUCAUAUUCAUCCAAUUCACAAGUGGCUACUUGACUUCAUUGGGACACAUGUCGAUCAAGUCUCCUAUUUAAUCUCUGAUGAGCAACCCAUCGAGAGGACUCAACCAACACCUUCUCUGCUGUACCGUACAUCCGCCUUGGCCGUGCUUGUCUGCCAGGUUUUAGGCCAAAAUGGGAGAACAAUUGGAACUUGAUGCAGGAUUAUUCUUCUGGCUGUGUGAGGAAAACCCAACUGCAGUGUGAAAAUACUGUUGUUACAAAUGGAAAGAGUGACAAGUUUUUAGCAAAUUCUCACAUGGUAUUGCCUAAACAUCCACAAUCUGUGGCAGGAGGGAGUAUCAAGGAAUGUGAAAAAACCUGCUCGAGGAACUGCUCUUGCACUGCUUAUGCUUAUGAAGACAAUGCUUGUUCAAUAUGGAUUGGAAGUCUCUUGAGUCUGCAUCAACUUUCACCAGGCGACGCAAAUGGGAAAACUAUUCAUGUCAAGCUUGCAGCUUCGGAGUUUUCAAGUUCCAGUAAUAACAAGGGAACAGUCAUUGGUGCUGUCGUGGGUUCAGUGUCAUUUGUAGCUCUAUUAGGCCUUCUUGCUUUUAUGUAUUUCAGGAAGAGAGAGAAUACAAUGAAAACAAGCAAAUCAGUGGAGGAUGGUUCGUUGGUGGCAUUUGCAUACAAGGAUUUGCUAACAGCCACAAAGAAUUUCUCUGAAAAAUUGGGGGGAGGAGGUUUUGGUUCUGUUUUCAAAGGGAGGCUGCCUAAUUCAAGUGUCAUAGCUGUGAAGAAGCUGCAGAGCUUCAGCCAAGGAGAGAAACAAUUCAGAGCAGAAGUCAGCACAAUAGGGAACAUCCAACAUGUCAAUCUAGUUAGGCUUCGUGGAUUCUGCUCUGAAGGUACAAAAAAAUUAUUGGUCUAUGAUUACAUGCCAAAUGGAUCCCUAGAUUCGCACAUCUUCCAUAGAGAGAAUUCAAAGGUUCUUGAUUGGGAAACAAGAUACCAAAUUGCACUAGGGACAGCCAGAGGAUUGGCUUAUCUCCACGAGAAGUGCAGAGACUGCAUCAUACACUGCGACAUAAAGCCAGAGAACAUUCUAUUAGAUGUUCAAUGGUGUCCAAAAGUGGCAGAUUUUGGCAUGUCAAAGCUUGUUGGGAGAGAAUUCAGCAGAGUCCUAACGACCAUUAGAGGAACAAGAGGGUAUCUCGCACCAGAAUGGCUUUCAGGAGUGGCCAUAACAGCAAAAGCUGAUGUUUACAGCUAUGGAAUGAUGCUCUUUGAAAUUGUUUCAGGAAGGAGAAACUUUGAAUGGAACUCUGUAUACUCUGAAGAUGAAGAAAUGAAAUACUUCCCAACUUGGGCAGCAAGCCUAAUGAGUGAAGGUGGCAAUGUGCUUAGCCUUUUAGACAAAAGACUUGAGGGUAGUGCUGAUGUAGAAGAGCUUUCAAGGAUUUGCAAAGUUGCUUGUUGGUGUAUCCAAGAUGAUGAAACUCAUAGGCCAUCAAUUGGUCAAGUGGUUCAAAUACUUGAGGGGGUUUUGGAAGUGACUCAGUCUCCAAUUCCAAGAUCCCUUAAAGUAAUCGCAGAUAACAAGGAGGAUAUAAUCUUCUUCACCGAGUCAUCUGAGACUUCAGGUGCUUCAUCUCAAGCUAAGUUCGCUGGAUCAUCAGCAAGUUCCUAAAUCCUUACCAAGAUAAUCAAUUUUAUUUGAGUAGUAUUUGUUAUUUCUGUUUUUUGGAUUUGGGUGGUGUUUUGUUAUUUCUGUUUGACUAUAGUCUUGAAUUUAUUGCCCUUAUUUGAGUACUAUUAUCCUAGAUAGUCUACUAUACAUAUAUGGUAUUAAUCUAUAUUAUUUUCAUAUGGUUUGAACUUCGUAUGUCGUAGCAUAAUGUUUAUCAAAAUCUCGUGUCUGCAAGUUGUUUAUUUUCUAGCUGUUAAUAAUGUCCACUCGAAUGAUAACAAUUUAUCUACCUGUUAAUAUAUGAUUUUAAUAUAUGUUUAUAUGCAGAACACAACAUAACAGAACCAACCAUUUGAAAUUUCAUUUCAGUUGGACGAGUAAUCUAAAGUCGAAUUUCACUGUCAUCAAUGGUGAAACAAAGAGUCCAGUUCAUACUUCAGAGUCGUUGCAAAUUAAUUAAAAUGACUAGAAGAUUGGAAUGAUUAGCGAAAUAGACAAACUGAAUUGAUAAGAUAAACAAAUAGAUAGAAUAAAACUAAAACUAUGUACUGAAAACAUCCGAAUUUGUUGCAGUGUAUUGCAGCACCAAUUUCAUUUGGGCCAAGAAUGUACAAAGAAGCAAAAUCUUGACGAGUUAUGUUCGAUAAAGUUCAAUGCAGUUAAAUGAAAAAACUGAAACUAACCCCUCUGUAUAUUCCAGUUUCUAUUCUGUUUCCAAUGCACCGCAAAAACUUAUACGCAGUAAUGAGACUGCAGUAGCACAUUACAAAAUGAUACAUCUGCAUGUCCCCUAUAAUAUCUGUUCAUGCUAAGUAACCCAAAUCUGCAAUGGUAAUUGGUUGAAGAAAAGAGGGUACUAAUCGUAUUAUAAUACUGAAUAUGGUCAGCUUAGUAUUAUUUAUGGGAACUGAAAAACUCAUAGUCUUUGUGUCGAUUGACUACCUUGAUGCCAUCCGUCCAAACACAACCUCUAGCAAAAAGAGACGCAUUUUCCUCUAGUAUUCUGAGCUGUUCCCGAAGAAUUUCAGAACGGUCAAAAAGUGAAGAGUCUUUGAAAGAGGAUUCUUCAGGUACUUUGAGAUCAAACCAGCUUUCUGCCUGCAGGUAUAAAGCUUGUGAAGUGCUGUACCACAGCUCUGAUCAAUAUCCAGAGAAGAAUUAUAGCUUAUCUCAAAAUGAGUGAAAUUAUUAAAAUAUAUAUAUGUAUAGCUCAUUUCUAUAAUCCAUUGGGUUCAUAGUCUUAGAUAUCCUGAUAAGAAUUCCAACCCACUGCUUCUACAUAUACCCAGACAUUGAACACAAUUUGGUUUAUUUAUUUCUUAACAACAUCAUGGUCGUGAUUCAAAGUUCAAAACAUGAAUUUCAAGGAUUAUGAUAUCUAUGUGGCACGUGUGUCAAGUUUAGUAAAACUUAAAUCUCCAUGGGAAUUCGAUGAAAAUCGACAAGCUCCUUCUUAGUCAUAGGUCCGGGCGGCAAAGCUUAUUCAGUUUUGACUUUGGAUACCUGACUGCCUGAACAAUUGAUUAAGGACGAACCUAUACUAUGCACGUCGGAUAGUAGCAGCAGAACCACUCAAAAUAGGCAGAAGAUUGCAAUCUAAACCAAUAUAUGACAAGGGUAGAACAUAUAGAGCUUAAACUUUACCUGUGCCUUGUAGCUUAGCAAUCCCACUACAGGGGAGACAACACAGAGUGUUUUCUUUUUGAGGGUAUCAGUUGGCACAUCUCUCAUAACCAUAUGUCCUAGCGAAUGAUAAGUCAAGAAAGCUGCACCAAAUUUCCCUUCGGGAAUUCGAAAUAUAGGAUACCAAGCCACUGAAAACCUAAAACCAAUUUAUUCAGGUUGUAAUAAGAAUGUCACAGAUUGGUUCCCCCCACCCCAAAAAAUAAGUAAAUAAAUGAAAGCACCAUGUGGUGACUGAUUCUCACCAGGAUGCAAGAUGUAGAUCAUUCAGCUUCAAAGAUUUCAACUUUGAUAUGUCACCAAAUACUUGAAGAUAAGAAGCUUCAGCAUCAAAAAGAUCCAGAAUUCUGCAAUUAGUAAUUAGUUAAGAUCAAUCCAGAUACAUCUUAACACCCCAUUUCAAAUAAAAAUGAUGAGGGUUUCAAUGAAUUGUAAACAGAAUGAGAAGAAAGAGUUCAACGAAAAAAAGCCUACAUGAUUAGCGGUGAUUGGAAAUGGAUAACUAUGAGUGAGUACGAAUUAAGAUAACAAGAUAAAAAGAAGACACAACUACAGCAGUGAGGACAAAACAUGUCAAACCUUCAACUAGGGCAAUGGUUGGGCACACCACACAAGAAAAGCUGAAACGGAACUACAAAUCAACCUUGUAGAAUCAUCAUUUUCAUGUACGACUUUUAUGAAUUCUGUAAAUAUGGCAAUGUAAGUUUUGAGGUAAGAAAGCAGAACUCUCAAUGCACAUGGUACAAUAACCUACAGCAAUAUCUUAAAUACUCCAAGAUGCAAUUUCUUCAAGUUAAUGAAUAAACUACAGAUUAAAUACCAUGUGAGAGAAAUAUGUCAGACUCAAGUUUAGAAAAAUAGUUCUAAUAGCAUCCACUAUAAAUAAUUGAUUGUAUAUCAACCUAGCAAUUUGAUUUAGCUACGGCCUGAUGAUUAUAAUUUUCAAUACAGCAAGCGAAAGAUAAAGGCUAGUGGCGAAAUUUACUUAUUAUGAAGAGGCCUUCGCAGCCAAGGUUUCUCAGUUUCAAAAAAUUCAAAUAAAAGUUCACAAUUACUGGAGCGAUCAGGUGAUGGAGUGAAACUCUGGGAGUGGCCUUCAGGACAGAAAGCUUUAUAUGAAUUGACACUCUCUUCAAUCGAGCCAAAUUUCAGCUCUGGGGCCAAAAGAUUUUUUCCCUCUAAUGCUGUUGAGCUAUUUCUGAUAUACAUGUCAGAGUUGGAGCGCUCUUCACUUGUACCACAAGAAUUAGAUAGAUAUGUGUAGCCAAACAAUUGAACAGCUGAAAGACAAGGAACAAAAUGAGCAUCAAACGAUGCUGAUUCAGUAAGCCGCCCUUUUAGUUUCUGAGAAUGACUUUUAGUCCAUAAUUCCCUGGCUCCUCGUACCAGUUCCAAACAGAAAAAAGUGAUGUAUUAGGUAUCUGGUGCUUACACAAGGAGCUAUCAGACAACUGAUCACCCAAACACAAAGAACAUUUUCCGUGUUGAUAUAAUGAGGCAAUAGCAGGAGCAGCGGAGUGGAGGAAUCUUUCGAACUCCGCAAGUGGACAUCCUGUUUCUAGCUCAAAACCCUCAGAUACUAGUUGCAUUUUGUAAGCAGCAUUUAGGGGAUCUGUUACCAUUAAGCCAACGAUAAGCUGUUGAACAUCUUUCAAAUUUUGCACAUAUUUCAUUCUAAUUUCAGCACUCUUGAUGUGAUGGACUUCUGUUGUGGUACACUGACUGUCAGAAUUUGGAGCUUCAGUUUCAACUAGAUUCAAACUGCUGCUACCAAUUAAGUGUGUACUUUUAAAUUUGCUUAACAUGGCAGAUGCACGAUGAUCAAUUACAUUUCCCCCCGAACGGCCAUCCUUCUCUACUUCAUGUAAAAGUCGCAAGUCGCCAUUACAAACAUGACAGAUACCGGCAGAACCAGUUUUUUCUGAAAUACUUGACCCCUUAGUGCCGACAGCAACCCACUUCUUUGCAUUCAUUCUAGAAGUAACAUCUUUUAUGAAUUGGUUUUCAUUAAAUUGUUCAAAUUUUACGCAUGAUUCACUUUUUGUGGAAGCAUGAAAUGAUCUAGCUGAUACGUAACUCAUCCCUGGUAUCUUCACCCCACCGUAUGGUUGAGAGCAUACCCAAGUUGGCUGUCCAUGAGAAGAAAAAUCAGAAUAAGAAUGCAGGCAGGAUGCACCAUGGGUAAAACCAUGCUGGCUACUGCAAGUUUUCUGCGCCAUAUAAGGAUUCUUGUAACAUUUCAAUUCAAAUGGCACCUCUAAAACUUCUUUCUUACAUAAACAAGACUUGUUAUGAGGCCUCAAGAAAUUAUGCCCCUGACAUUCCAGUCCUUUCUUGCUUCUGCAAUAAUUUUGAGGGUUAAAGGAUCCCUUUGUUUUCAAUUUCUGUUCUUCAUAUUCAUCCAAUUCACAAGUGGCUACUUGACUUCAUUGGGACACAUGUCGAUCAAGUCUCCUAUUUAAUCUCUGAUGAGCAACCCAUCGAGAGGACUCAACCAACACCUUCUGGUGGAUUCUCACAUCUGUUUUUGUCUUGUUAUUUCCUGCAUUUGCUACACCAAUGUGCCUAGAAGAUUCAAUUGUUGGAGUGGGCAGCAAUCCUUUACCAAAAAAUGAGUUGUGCUCGACAAAAAGGUUCUUCUGAAGCAUACUUGCAUCUCCCUGUAGAUAAUUGCGUUGCAAUUUGUUACCCUCACUGGUUUGUGUUUCCCUUACAUUCCUCUGCUUCUUCCGCCAGACUGAUUGGCUAUUUUCCUUCCCUGUCAUGAUAUGUUGGUGAUUUCUAGUCUUAUGGACAGCAUCAAGUUCAGAUGCCAAGUUGUGGCUCUUAAAUCCAUUUCUUUCUCUGAUAGCAUGAGAACUGUUACAGACAUCACACCCUUGCUUAUUCAAUCCAGAUACAUCUUAACACCCCAUUUCAAAUAAAAAUGAUGAGGGUUUCAAUGAAUUGUAAACAGAAUGAGAAGAAAGAGUUCAACGAAAAAAAGCCUACAUGAUUAGCGGUGAUUGGAAAUGGAUAACUAUGAGUGAGUACGAAUUAAGAUAACAAGAUAAAAAGAAGACACAACUACAGCAGUGAGGACAAAACAUGUCAAACCUUCAACUAGGGCAAUGGUUGGGCACACCACACAAGAAAAGCUGAAACGGAACUACAAAUCAACCUUGUAGAAUCAUCAUUUUCAUGUACGACUUUUAUGAAUUCUGUAAAUAUGGCAAUGUAAGUUUUGAGGUAAGAAAGCAGAACUCUCAAUGCACAUGGUACAAUAACCUACAGCAAUAUCUUAAAUACUCCAAGAUGCAAUUUCUUCAAGUUAAUGAAUAAACUACAGAUUAAAUACCAUGUGAGAGAAAUAUGUCAGACUCAAGUUUAGAAAAAUAGUUCUAAUAGCAUCCACUAUAAAUAAUUGAUUGUAUAUCAACCUAGCAAUUUGAUUUAGCUACGGCCUGAUGAUUAUAAUUUUCAAUACAGCAAGCGAAAGAUAAAGGCUAGUGGCGAAAUUUACUUAUUAUGAAGAGGCCUUCGCAGCCAAGGUUUCUCAGUUUCAAAAAAUUCAAAUAAAAGUUCACAAUUACUGGAGCGAUCAGGUGAUGGAGUGAAACUCUGGGAGUGGCCUUCAGGACAGAAAGCUUUAUAUGAAUUGACACUCUCUUCAAUCGAGCCAAAUUUCAGCUCUGGGGCCAAAAGAUUUUUUCCCUCUAAUGCUGUUGAGCUAUUUCUGAUAUACAUGUCAGAGUUGGAGCGCUCUUCACUUGUACCACAAGAAUUAGAUAGAUAUGUGUAGCCAAACAAUUGAACAGCUGAAAGACAAGGAACAAAAUGAGCAUCAAACGAUGCUGAUUCAGUAAGCCGCCCUUUUAGUUUCUGAGAAUGACUUUUAGUCCAUAAUUCCCUGGCUCCUCGUACCAGUUCCAAACAGAAAAAAGUGAUGUAUUAGGUAUCUGGUGCUUACACAAGGAGCUAUCAGACAACUGAUCACCCAAACACAAAGAACAUUUUCCGUGUUGAUAUAAUGAGGCAAUAGCAGGAGCAGCGGAGUGGAGGAAUCUUUCGAACUCCGCAAGUGGACAUCCUGUUUCUAGCUCAAAACCCUCAGAUACUAGUUGCAUUUUGUAAGCAGCAUUUAGGGGAUCUGUUACCAUUAAGCCAACGAUAAGCUGUUGAACAUCUUUCAAAUUUUGCACAUAUUUCAUUCUAAUUUCAGCACUCUUGAUGUGAUGGACUUCUGUUGUGGUACACUGACUGUCAGAAUUUGGAGCUUCAGUUUCAACUAGAUUCAAACUGCUGCUACCAAUUAAGUGUGUACUUUUAAAUUUGCUUAACAUGGCAGAUGCACGAUGAUCAAUUACAUUUCCCCCCAAAUGGCCAUCCUUCUCUACUUCAUGUAAAAGUGGCAAGUCGCCAUUACGAACAUGACAGAUACCAGCAGAACCAGUUUUUUCUGAAAUACUUGACCCCUUAGUGCCAACAGCAACCCGCUUCUUUGCAUUCAUUCUAGAAGUAACAUCUUUUAUGAAUUGGUUUUCAUUAAAUUGUUCAAAUUUUACGCAUGAUUCACUUUUUGUGGAAGCAUGAAAUGAUCUAGCUGAUACGUAACUCAUCCCUGGUAUCUUCACCCCACCGUAUGGUUGAGAGCAUACCCAAGUUGGCUGUCCAUGAGAAGAAAAAUCAGAAUAAGAAUGCAGGCAGGAUGCACCAUGGGUAAAACCAUGCUGGCUACUGCAAGUUUUCUGCGCCAUAUAAGGAUUCUUGUAACAUUUCAAUUCAAAUGGCACCUCUAAAACUUCUUUCUUACAUAAACAAGACUUGUUAUGAGGCCUCAAGAAAUUAUGCCCCUGACAUUCCAGUCCUUUCUUGCUUCUGCAAUAAUUUUGAGGGUUAAAGGAUCCCUUUGUUUUCAAUUUCUGUUCUUCAUAUUCAUCCAAUUCACAAGUGGCUACUUGACUUCAUUGGGACACAUGUCGAUCAAGUCUCCUAUUUAAUCUCUGAUGAGCAACCCAUCGAGAGGACUCAACCAACACCUUCUGGUGGAUUCUCACAUCUGUUUUUGUCUUGUUAUUUCCUGCAUUUGCUACACCAAUGUGCCUAGAAGAUUCAAUUGUUGGAGUGGGCAGCAAUCCUUUACCAAAAAAUGAGUUGUGCUCGACAAAAAGGUUCUUCUGAAGCAUACUUGCAUCUCCCUGUAGAUAAUUGCGUUGCAAUUUGUUACCCUCACUGGUUUGUGUUUCCCUUACAUUCCUCUGCUUCUUCCGCCAGACUGAUUGGCUAUUUUCCUUCCCUGUCAUGAUAUGUUGGUGAUUUCUAGUCUUAUGGACAGCAUCAAGUUCAGAUGCCAAGUUGUGGCUCUUAAAUCCAUUUCUUUCUCUGAUAGCAUGAGAACUGUUACAGACAUCACACCCUUGCUUAUUCUCAUCUGGAACUUUACAGCAAGUUCUACUAUUGCAGUUUUGAAUAUUCAGAUCUUCAGAACACAGUUUCACUUGUAUUUCACAUAGAGAAGUUGAAUUGACCAGUGGGGUAUCUUUUUCCAAGCCCUUUUCACAGUUUAUAGCAGGAUUGAGUAUAUCCUCCAUAAUUGAUGAAGAAGAUGACUUUGCAUCAAUAACAUCAUAUUUACUUUCUCCUGCCAUAGAAACAAUCUUAUCGGAGAUCUUUUUACUUGAAUAAGUUCUCUUUUGUUGUUCUUCUUUUUCUUUCUAAAAUGUUUCUUGAACUUCGGAUCAUCAGUAAUUGAAUCCACUUUGCUGUUUACCUGCUUAUCACUAAAACCAAGAGUAUCUGAUUGGAAAGAUCCAGCACAUCUUGACUUCUCAUUACACACAACAUCUGGUACAGCUAGAUCUCCGUACGGCUUCAAAGCCUCAGAGAUCCAGAUGUCACCAAGAACUGCACAACCUAAAGAGCUUGACGAACUACAGAUACCAUUUCCCCGUUCUAUAUGUUGAACUAAUGCCCCUGAAACUUCCAUCUCUAGAACAUUUAUCAAUUUAAAGAUUUUCAGUCCUUAUCUAAAUCAACACCAGAAAACAAAGCCUGCAAUGGGAAAUGAACAAGUUAAAGAAAAGAGGCACGAUCAAGUUCAAAAUGAAAUCAAAUCCUACUAGAGACAGAUAACAUGUUAACAAUAAAGUCAACAGAAUUUGAAUGAAACAAGAAUCCACUCCAGCCUGUCAAAUAUUAAAGCAACAGAAAAGCAAAGAACCAAAAGAGCAUCUCAUUUAUCAUAUGAACCAAAGAUUGGAUAAAGUUAGUAAAAAUAAUUGGAAUAAAAUGAUAUGAACAAGCACUCAAACCAAAUAUACUCAUAUGACCCUAAAAUUUGCAUUUUAGUUAAUAAGAUACUAAAAUGAAUUUAACUAACUACCUAACAGUACAAGCACACAUCUCAUGAAACAAACCAAUUUAUCAGGGCAUUUGCGUACAUACAAAAGUCCAAAUAUCUCUUUAAAUCAAACCCACCUAAUUUUUACCAACAAAAGUUAUUUUUCUUGACCUAAUAUAACUCAAGGGUAAAACUAAAUAUGACCCCAAGAAAUAACCCAAACCAUGUAAUUUAUUCAAAUGCACGUUUUCAAGUACUUCUCAGACAGUUAUUUAAUUCAUCUGCUACCCAGAAAAAAAAAAUGAAAGUAGAAAAAAAGAACAAGAACAAGAAAAAGAAUGCCACUUUACCAAGUGCAGGUGAUGGGUUCUUGUGACUGCUCAAAGAACCCAGAAAAUAUAAUUAAAAGGAAAUAUCCAUGUUCCUUUAACCAAAUUAAGAAACAUACAAAGAAAACGACAAUUUUUGAAACAAGAAACGUGAAUAAUACUGAUCAAAUUAUGACACCCGUAUUGAAUUUAGAUCAAACAAAAAGAUUAAACAGAAAAAAAAAGGAAAAGAUAAAAGAAAAAGAAAGUACCUGAGAGACAAAAUGAGAAGCGCGCCAGAAGCCAAAAUAUGAAAAAUGGGUUUUUGGGGUUGACUUUUGAGUCUGUUUCAAUUUUUAUUUAACGGAUUUCUUGAAAUUGCUAGGAAAUAUUCUCUUUUUUAGAGUGUGGAGUAGGCAUAUCACAGUUGAUGAGGUCGAAUCUCUCUCUAUGGGCGCCAUGUGUCUAAUACGUAUGAUGAUAACACAAGCAAAAUACCAUAAUGGAUGGAUUAUGGGCAGCCCGCGGAAUUGUCUGUUUUACCCCGCUAUUGUAACCAUCCAGGAGGAUCCGUUUUAAUAUGUUUUUUUGCUACACUUUAAAUAUUCCAAUAAAUUAAUUAAUUCAUGUUUAUAAACAGUGUUAUGGAAAAUAAGGGAGAUGGUGAAUAAAUAAUAUUAUAAGUUUUUUAAAAAGUUACAUAAAUAAAAUUAAUAGUUUUUUAAAUAAAAAAUUAUUUCUAAAGAAACAUGAAUUACUGCCAAGUAGCAUGUGAAUAAACAUUUAAUUAUUCAAAAAAGAAUGAUUAUGUACUCUUUGAUGUAUGUUACGACGUUAAUUGGUGAGAAUGAAAUAUUGUACAAUAAAUUAUCUUAGAAAUUUAUUAAAGUAUACUAUGUACCAAUGAAUGUUAUUUUUUCCAAUGAAAAUUUUGGGAUGAUAAAUUGAUAAUAUUAGGGAUAGGACUAUUUGAGCUCUAAAAAUUAUUUUAAAUACUCUAUUAUUCUAUAGAUUUGUGUACUAUGAACUCUCGACUUUCUUCCAAUAGUUAGUAGUGUGAAAGUGGUGUAAUGAGGGAGUGAUGUGGUGUCUUAAUUACUCUCCCGUUUAGCUCUUUGUUAAUGUUUUUUAGGUCUGCUGUUUUAAAUUUGUGAAGUUUUUUAUAUUGUCGCUAUUUUCCAUUAUUGUUAUUGGUGGUCUAUAUGAUGGAUACGAUGGAAUUAGCGAAACUUUGUGGCUCUUUAACUUUGCGUGACAAAGCAAGUACGAUUUUGUCUCAGAUGCUGUCCAAAAGCGAAGGGAGGCAAUGGCAGUGAAUUACUUGAUUAGUAAGAUAUUAACGAAGCAGGUGAUUUCCAAAGAUGCCUUCACUAAGAAUUUUCCAGUGAUUUGAAGAACAUUCAGGGAGUUAAGAUCAAAUGUUUAGAGAAGAAUGUAUUCUUGUUCUGUUUUAGCUGACGAGUUCUUUUGUUGGCCCAUGGCAUUUUGAUAGGACAUUGGUUGUUCUCACUCCAUUGCAAGGUAAUGGUGAUUUGACUGUGGAAUGUUCUGACAAAGUGAUAUUUUGGGUGUAAAUUUAUAACGUGCCCUUAUUGUAUAUAUUAAAAGAGAUAACUGAACUUCAACUGAGUAUACAUGGAACGAUGGAGAAAAUAAAUAUGAGAUCAUCUGGUGAUUGUAUGAGAAAGUAUCUGAAAGUCUAUGUUACUUUUGAUAUUGUGUUACCUUUGAUAUUUCUUAUUCGUUAAAACGGAAUUUACGUGUGAAAUUCCAUUCAUUGGAUCUUAAAUGUGUGUUUGGUACAAUAUGAGAAGUAGUUAAAUUUUUAUUUUCACUGUGAUAGGAUAAGACAUAUAUUUCAUAAGUGUGAGGUGCAUGAGUUAGCAUGGGCAGAGGAUGGCUCCCACACCACUCUUCUGUUUGGGAAUUGGAUGAGAAUGACUGUUGGUGCUUUCGUCAAACGGCUAAAAAAUCCACUAAUGGUCAAGGCUAAUACAAAGAGUGGCAGUGAGGAGUUGAAUGCAUCGUUGAUGACACCAAAUAAGCCGGAUACAGUUAUUAAUGGUGUGAAAAUUUUGGAUGAAUUUCAAAAUGUGAGUGAUUUAAAUUUUGAAAGCGCUAAUGUUGCAGACAAGGGAGCUUUUCCUUAGCUUAUGAUCUUUGGUUUCUAUAUGGCUUCUUGGCUGCUUAACUUCUUUACGGCUUCUAGGCCGCUUGACCUCUUUACGGCUCCUAAGUGUUCGACUUCUUUAUGGUUUCUUGGUUGCUUUACUUCUUUAUGCUCUGCUUCCUUGAUGCCUCUAUGUUUCUUUUUCCCUUUCUUUUCCUUCUCGUCUGCGCCUCCAUUUCGUUCCUACAUAUUUUGACAGCACAGAAUUUUUGGUUGUUGCAGCGGCCAUGGAAAUCAUCAAGAACAAUUCAUGGUUGAUGCUUUUUGUUCUUUUCACGUGCUUCUCACUCAAAUCCCAUGUCUCCUUCGGAGCUGACACCAUUUCUGCAAACCAAUCUCUCUCUGGUGAUCAAACGAUCGUUUCUAAAGGUGGGGUCUUUGCAUUUGGUUUCUUCAACCCAGCUCCUGGUAAGUCUUCAAACUAUUACAUAGGCAUGUGGUACAAUAAAGUCUCUGAAAGAACUAUAGUUUGGGUAGCCAACAGAGAACAGCCAGUUUCUGAUAGAUUCUCUUCGGUUUUAAGAAUCUCAGAUGGUAACUUAAUUCUUUUUAAUGAGUCCCAACAACCCAUUUGGUCCACAAUUUUGACCGCUACCAGCAGACGUUCUGUGGUAGCAGUUCUUUUAGAUGAAGGAAAUCUUGUUUUGAGAGAUUUGUCAAAUAAUUUGUCGGAGCCGUUAUGGCGAAGUUUUGAUCAUCCAGCUCAUACUCGGAUUCCCGGUAUGAAGCUGACGUUCAACAAGAGAAACAACGUCAGUCAACUUCUCACUUCAUGGAAGAAUAAAGAAAAUUCUGCACCGGGUCUCUUCUCCCUUGAGCUAGCACCAGAUGCAUCAAAUCAAAAUGCUAUUUUGUGGAAUAGGUCUGAGCAGUACUGGAGAAGUGGACCUUGGGAUGAUAAUGCAAAAAUUUUCAGCUUGGUCCCUGAAAUGACACUAAAUUAUAUCUACAAUUUCAGCUAUGUGUCGAAUGAAAACGAGAGCUAUUUCACCAACAAUGUGAAAGAUAGCACUUACACAUCUCGAUUCAUUAUGGAUGUUUCAGGACAGGUUAAGCAGAUGAAUUGGUUGCCUACCAACUCUUGGUUUCUGUUUUGGUCCCAACCAAGACAGCAAUGCAAGGGUUAUGCUUUUUGUGGUCAAUUUAGCACCUGCAAUGAGCAAACUGAGCGUUUUUGUUCUUGUUUGAAAGGUUUUCAACAAAAAUCGGUGAGUGACUGGAAUUUGGAAGAUUAUUCUGGUGCCCGCUGCAGUGUGAAAAUAAUAGUCUUGCCAAUGGAAAAAGCGACCAAUUUUUCCAGUACAGUAACAUGAAAUUGCCUAAACAUCCACAAUCUGUGGCAGUAGGGGGUAUCAGGGAAUGUGAAACACACUGCUUGAAUAACUGCUCUUGCACUGCUUAUGCUUACAAAGACAACGCUUGCUCGAUUUGGGUAGGAAGUUUCGUGGGUCUGCAACAGCUACAAGGAGGUGGAGAUACCAUUUAUAUCAAGCUUGCAGCUUCUGAGUUCUCGAGUCCCAAGAAUAAACAGGGAGUAUUCAUUGGCAGUGUUGUGGGCACAGUGGCUGUCGUAGCUCUUAUUGGCCUGAUCAUGCUUGUAUACUUGAGAAGGAGAAAGACAGCAACUGUAACAACCAAAACUGUGGAGGGUUCUUUGGUGGCAUUUGCAUGCAAGGAUUUGCAAACUGCCACAAAGAAUUUCUCUGAAAAGCUGGAGGGAGGAGGUUUUGGUUCAGUUUUCAAAGGGGUGUUGCCGAAUUCAAGUCUCAUAGCUGUGAAGAAGCUUGAAAGCUGGAGCCAAGGAGAGAAGCAAUUUCGGACUGAAGUCAGUACCAUAGGGAAUAUCCAACAUGUCAAUCUGGUUCGGCUUCUGGGUUUCUGCUCUGAACUAGUAGGUUGUUGGUCUACGAUUUCAUGCCAAACGGUUCUUUAGACUCUCAUCUCUUCACUGAAAAAGAUUCAGACUUUCAUGAUUGGAAGACAAGAUACCAAAAUUCAAUGGGGACAGCCAGAGGUUUGGCUUAUCUCCAUGAGAAGUGCAGAGACUGCAUCAUACACUGUGACAUAAAGCCAGAGAACAUUCUGUUAGAUGCUGAAUUUUGUCCCAAAGUGUCGGAUUUUGGGCUCGCAAAGCUUGUUGGGAGGGAGUUCAGCCGUGUCCUAACAACCAUGAGAGGAACAAGAGGUUACCUUGCACCUGAAUGGAUUUCAGGAGUGGCCAUAACAGCCAAAGCGGAUGUCUACAGCUACGGAAUGUUGCUGUUUGAAUUUGUAUCAGGAAGGAGGAGCUCGGAGGAAUCUGAAGAUGGUAAAGUGAAGUUCUUCCCAUCUUGGGCUGCUAAACGAAUAGUUGAAGGCAGCAAUCUCGUUAGCCUCUUAGACCCAAGACUGGAGGGCAACGCUGACGAAGAAGAGCUUGCAAGACUUUGCAAAGUGGCUUGUUAGUG